rnacentral:rRNA from 1 species
AGAAUCAACGCUGGCGGCGUGCCUAACACAUGCAAGUCGAACGAGAAAGUGGAGCAAUCCAUGAGUAAAGUGGCGACCGGGUGAGUAACACGUGACUAACCUACCUUCGAGUGGGGGAUAACCUCGGGAAAACCGGGGCUAAUACCGCAUAAUAUCCACGGAUCAAAGGAGCAAUUCGCUUGAAGAGGGGGUCGCGGCUGAUUAGUUAGUUGGCGGGGUAAUGGCCCACCAAGACAAUGAUCGGUAGCCGGCCUGAGAGGGCGCACGGCCACACUGGAACUGAAACACGGUCCAGACUCCUACGGGAGGCAGCAGUGGGAUUUGCGCAAUGGGGGAAACCCUGACGCAGCAACGCCGCGUGGAGGAUGAAGUCCCUUGGGACGUAAACUCCUUUCGACUGGGAAGAUAAUGACGGUACCAGUGGAAGAAGCCCCGGCUAACUUCGUGCCAGCAGCCGC